GCCUGAAUCAGUGUGUGUGUUAGUGGAAGCGUCUGGAAAGGCGUGCGAUACAGGGUGACAGCCCCGUACACAAAAAUGCACAUAUUGUGAGCUCGAUGAGUAGGGCGGGACACGUGGUAUCCUGUCUGAAUAUGGGGGGACCAUCCUCCAAGGCUAAAUACUCCUGACUGACCGAUAGUGAACCAGUACCGUGAGGGAAAGGCGAAAAGAACCCCGGCGAGGGGAGUGAAAAAGAACCUGAAACCGUGUACGUACAAGCAGUGGGAGCCUCUUAAUGGGGUGACUGCGUACCUUUUGUAUAAUGGGUCAGCGACUUAUAUUCUGUAGCAAGGUUAACCGAAUAGGGGAGCCGAAGGGAAACCGAGUCUUAACUGGGCGUUAAGUUGCAGGGUAUAGACCCGAAACCCGGUGAUCUAGCCAUGGGCAGGUUGAAGGUUGGGUAACACUAACUGGAGGACCGAACCGACUAAUGUUGAAAAAUUAGCGGAUGACUUGUGGCUGGGGGUGAAAGGCCAAUCAAACCGGGAGAUAGCUGGUUCUCCCCGAAAGCUAUUUAGGUAGCGCCUCGUGAAUUCAUCUCCGGGGGUAGAGCACUGUUUCGGCAAGGGGGUCAUCCCGACUUACCAACCCGAUGCAAACUGCGAAUACCGGAGAAUGUUAUCACGGGAGACACACGGCGGGUGCUAACGUCCGUCGUGAAGAGGGAAACAACCCAGACCGCCAGCUAAGGUCCCAAAGUCAUGGUUAAGUGGGAAACGAUGUGGGAAGGCCCAGACAGCCAGGAUGUUGGCUUAGAAGCAGCCAUCAUUUAAAGAAAGCGUAAUAGCUCACUGGUCGAGUCGGCCUGCGCGGAAGAUGUAACGGGGCUAAACCAUGCACCGAAGCUGCGGCAGCGACACUAUGUGUUGUUGGGUAGGGGAGCGUUCUGUAAGCCUGUGAAGGUGGCCUGUGAGGGUUGCUGGAGGUAUCAGAAGUGCGAAUGCUGACAUAAGUAACGAUAAAGCGGGUGAAAAGCCCGCUCGCCGGAAGACCAAGGGUUCCUGUCCAACGUUAAUCGGGGCAGGGUGAGUCGACCCCUAAGGCGAGGCCGAAAGGCGUAGUCGAUGGGAAACAGGUUAAUAUUCCUGUACUUGGUGUUACUGCGAAGGGGGGACGGAGAAGGCUAUGUUGGCCGGGCGACGGUUGUCCCGGUUUAAGCGUGUAGGCUGGUUUUCCAGGCAAAUCCGGAAAACCAAGGCUGAGGCGUGAUGACGAGGCACUACGGUGCUGAAGCGACAAAUGCCCUGCUUCCAGGAAAAGCCUCUAAGCAUCAGGUAACAUCAAAUCGUACCCCAAACCGACACAGGUGGUCAGGUAGAGAAUACCAAGGCGCUUGAGAGAACUCGGGUGAAGGAACUAGGCAAAAUGGUGCCGUAACUUCGGGAGAAGGCACGCUGAUAUGUAGGUGAAGCGACUUGCUCGUGGAGCUGAAAUCAGUCGAAGAUACCAGCUGGCUGCAACUGUUUAUUAAAAACACAGCACUGUGCAAACACGAAAGUGGACGUAUACGGUGUGACGCCUGCCCGGUGCCGGAAGGUUAAUUGAUGGGGUUAGCGGCAACGCGAAGCUCUUGAUCGAAGCCCCGGUAAACGGCGGCCGUAACUAUAACGGUCCUAAGGUAGCGAAAUUCCUUGUCGGGUAAGUUCCGACCUGCACGAAUGGCGUAAUGAUGGCCAGGCUGUCUCCACCCGAGACUCAGUGAAAUUGAACUCGCUGUGAAGAUGCAGUGUACCCGCGGCAAGACGGAAAGACCCCGUGAACCUUUACUAUAGCUUGACACUGAACAUUGAGCCUUGAUGUGUAGGAUAGGUGGGAGGCUUUGAAGUGUGGACGCCAGUCUGCAUGGAGCCGACCUUGAAAUACCACCCUUUAAUGAUUUGAGUUCUAACGUUGGCCCGUAAUCCGGGUUGCGGACAGUGUCUGGUGGGUAGUUUGACUGGGGCGGUCUCCUCCUAAAGAGUAACGGAGGAGCGCGAAGGUUGGCUAAUCCUGGUCGGACAUCAGGAGGUUAGUGCAAUGGCAUAAGCCAGCUUGACUGCGAGCGUGACGGCGCGAGCAGGUGCGAAAGCAGGUCAUAGUGAUCCGGUGGUUCUGAAUGGAAGGGCCAUCGCUCAACGGAUAAAAGGUACU
rnacentral:rRNA from 1 species